rnacentral:lncRNA from 1 species
AUCGUUUAAGUGGGGAGUUUGUAUAAAAUGUGAAUCAGAGACCCACACUGUGUUUUUGAUUGUUAUUAACCAUUUGAUUUUUAAUGAAGGGCUUAUAAAUAAUGACUGAAAUAGACACAUCACAGCAACAGCUGACGAUAAACUGAUCAGUAAAUCAUUGAACCUGAUAUUAGAUGUCUUUUAAUGAUGAUCAUGAUUUUCAUCACUAUGUUAACAUAUGCAGGUAGCUUUACUAAGUUUAUUUUGUUCAUAGCAUCAAAUGUUUCAGGAUGAGUGCUCAUCCUGAAAACCUUGUAGAUGUAUGUUUGGAGGUGGCGAAUGACCUGAUUUAAUAUAACAUAAGAAACAUUCUGAUACAUGAGGAGGAAGUACUUGAGUAAGCCUAGCUCAUAACGACUAGAGUGAUUGGGCUGAACAGACCAUUGAUUUGAUUUCCUGCUAUAUUUCUCCUCUUUAAGUCUUCCAUGAAUACACAAAAGCACUCCUUUACUGCCCAGAGAUGCAUCUACUUUUCAGUGAUUGCCACCAGAGAAGAAAAGCGAUUUAUGAAACAGUGAGCAGAACACUGUUCUGGAGAAUGAGAUGUCUGAUUUUUAUUCCAAGCUCUGCCAGAGUGACCUUGCACUACCACUUCCUCUGUAUUUCAGCAUCCACAACUAUAAAAAAUAUCUCAAGAAACCAUUUCUAGUUGCUUUCAACUUGUUUUGGAUUCAACUCGUGAUCUUAAUGAUGAAGGACGCCACAACCCAUUAGCAGUCAUCUGAGCCGUCCAGAUCUCUUGAGAGCCUCUUUCA